GAUGAACGCUGGCGGCGUGCCUAAUACAUGCAAGUCGAGCGAACGGACGAGAAGCUUGCUUCUCUGAUGUUAGCGGCGGACGGGUGAGUAACACGUGGAUAACCUACCUAUAAGACUGGGAUAACUUCGGGAAACCGUAGCUAAUACCGGAUAAUAUUUUGAACCGCAUGGUUCAAAAGUGAAAGACGGUCUUGCUGUCACUUAUAGAUGGAUCCGCGCUGCAUUAGCUAGUUGGUAAGGUAACGGCUUACCAAGGCAACGAUGCAUAGCCGACCUGAGAGAGUGAUCGGCCACACUGGAACUGAGACACGGUCCAGACUACUACGGGAGGCAGCAGUAGGGAAUCUUCCGCAAUGGGCGAAAGCCUGACGGAGCAACGCCGCGUGAGUGAUGGAGGUCUUCGGAUCGUAAAACUCUGUUAUUAGGGAAGAACAUAUGUGUAAGUAACUGUGCACAUCUUGACGGUACCUAAUCAGAAAGCCACGGCUAACUACGUG
rnacentral:rRNA from 1 species